rnacentral:rRNA from 1 species
GAUGAACGCUGGCGGCGUGCCUAAUACAUGCAAGUCGAGCGAACAGACGAGGAGCUUGCUCCUCUGACGUUAGCGGCGGACGGGUGAGUAACACGUGGAUAACCUACCUAUACGACUGGGAUAACUUCGGGAAACCGGAGCUAAUACCGGAUAAUAUAUUGAACCGCAUGGUUCAAUAGUGAAAGACGGUUUUGCUUUCACUUAUAGAUGGAUCCGCGCCGCAUUAGCUAGUUGGUAAGGUAACGGCUUACCAAGGCAACGAUGCGUAGCCGACCUGAGAGGGUGAUCCGCCACACGGGAACUGAGACACGGUCCAGACUCCUACGGUAGGCAGCAGUAGGGAAUCUUCCGGAAUGGGCGAAAGCCUGACGGAGCAACGCCGCGUGAGUGAUGAAGGUCUUCGGAUCGUAAAACUCUGUUAUUAGGAAAGAACAAAUGUGUAAGUAACUAUGCUCGUCUUGACGGUACCUAAACAGAAAGCCACGGCUAACUACGUG